GUUAACGAGGCGAACCGGGGGAACUGAAACAUCUAAGUACCCCGAGGAAAAGAAAUCAACCGAGAUUCCCCCAGUAGCGGCGAGCGAACGGGGAGCAGCCCAGAGUCUGAAUCAGCUUGUGUGUUAGUGGAACGGUCUGGAAAGUCCGACGGUACAGGGUGAUAGUCCCGUACACCAAAAUGCACAGGCUGUGAACUCGAAGAGUAGGGCGGGACACGUGGUAUCCUGUCUGAAUAUGGGGGGACCAUCCUCCAAGGCUAAAUACUCCUGACUGACCGAUAGUGAACCAGUACCGUGAGGGAAAGGCGAAAAGAACCCCGGCGAGGGGAGUGAAAAAGAACCUGAAACCGUGUACGUACAAGCAGUGGGAGCACCUUCGGGUGUGACUGCGUACCUUUUGUAUAAUGGGUCAGCGACUUAUAUUCUGUAGCAAGGUUAACCGUAUAGGGGAGCCGCAGGGAAACCGAGUCUUAACUGGGCGUUAAGUUGCAGGGUAUAGACCCGAAACCCGGUGAUCUAGCCAUGGGCAGGUUGAAGGUUGGGUAACACUAACUGGAGGACCGAACCGACUAAUGUUGAAAAAUUAGCGGAUGACUUGUGGCUGGGGGUGAAAGGCCAAUCAAACCGGGAGAUAGCUGGUUCUCCCCGAAAGCUAUUUAGGUAGCGCCUCGUGAACUCAUCUUCGGGGGUAGAGCACUGUUUCGGCUAGGGGGUCAUCCCGACUUACCAACCCGAUGCAAACUACGAAUACCGAAGAAUGUUAUCACGGGAGACACACGGCGGGUGCUAACGUCCGUCGUGAAGAGGGAAACAACCCAGACCGCCAGCUAAGGUCCCAAAGUCAUGGUUAAGUGGGAAACGAUGUGGGAAGGCACAGACAGCCAGGAUGUUGGCUUAGAAGCAGCCAUCAUUUAAAGAAAGCGUAAUAGCUCACUGGUCGAGUCGGCCUGCGCGGAAGAUGUAACGGGGCUAAACCAUGCACCGAAGCUGCGGCAGCGACACUAUGUGUUGUUGGGUAGGGGAGCGUUCUGUAAGCCUGCGAAGGUGACCUGUGAGGGUUGCUGGAGGUAUCAGAAGUGCGAAUGCUGACAUAAGUAACGAUAAAGCGGGUGAAAAGCCCGCUCGCCGGAAGACCAAGGGUUCCUGUCCAACGUUAAUCGGGGCAGGGUGAGUCGACCCCUAAGGCGAGGCCGAAAGGCGUAGUCGAUGGGAAACAGGUUAAUAUUCCUGUACUUGGUGUUACUGCGAAGGGGGGACGGAGAAGGCUAUGUUAGCCGGGCGACGGUUGUCCCGGUUUAAGCAUGUAGGCUGGUUAUCCAGGCAAAUCCGGAUAAUCAAGGCUGAGGUGUGAUGACGAGGCACUACGGUGCUGAAGUAACAAAUGCCCUGCUUCCAGGAAAAGCCUCUAAGCAUCAGGUAACAUCAAAUCGUACCCCAAACCGACACAGGUGGUCAGGUAGAGAAUACCAAGGCGCUUGAGAGAACUCGGGUGAAGGAACUAGGCAAAAUGGUGCCGUAACUUCGGGAGAAGGCACGCUGGUGUGUAGGUGAAGCCCCUGCGGGUGGAGCUGAGACCAGUCGAAGAUACCAGCUGGCUGCAACUGUUUAUUAAAAACACAGCACUGUGCAAACACGAAAGUGGACGUAUACGGUGUGACGCCUGCCCGGUGCCGGAAGGUUAAUUGAUGGGGUUAUCCGUAAGGAGAAGCUCUUGAUCGAAGCCCCGGUAAACGGCGGCCGUAACUAUAACGGUCCUAAGGUAGCGAAAUUCCUUGUCGGGUAAGUUCCGACCUGCACGAAUGGCGUAAUGAUGGCCAGGCUGUCUCCACCCGAGACUCAGUGAAAUUGAACUCGCUGUGAAGAUGCAGUGUACCCGCGGCAAGACGGAAAGACCCCGUGAACCUUUACUAUAGCUUGACACUGAACAUUGAGCCUUGAUGUGUAGGAUAGGUGGGAGGCUUUGAAGCGUGGACGCCAGUCUGCGUGGAGCCAACCUUGAAAUACCACCCUUUAAUGUUUGAUGUUCUAACGUUGGCCCCUUAUCGGGGUUGCGGACAGUGUCUGGUGGGUAGUUUGACUGGGGCGGUCUCCUCCCAAAGCGUAACGGAGGAGCACGAAGGUUAGCUAAUCCUGGUCGGACAUCAGGAGGUUAGUGCAAUGGCAUAAGCUAGCUUGACUGCGAGCGUGACGGCGCGAGCAGGUGCGAAAGCAGGUCAUAGUGAUCCGGUGGUUCUGAAUGGAAGGGCCAUCGCUCAACGGAUAAAAGGUACUCCGGGGAUAACAGGCUGAUACCGCCCAAGAGUUCAUAUCGACGGCGGUGUUUGGCACCUCGAUGUCGGCUCAUCACAUCCUGGGGCUGAAGUAGGUCCCAAGGGUAUGGCUGUUCGCCAUUUAAAGUGGUACGCGAGCUGGGUUUAGAACGUCGUGAGACAGUUCGGUCCCUAUCUGCCGUGGGCGCUGGAGAAUUGAGGGGGGCUGCUCCUAGUACGAGAGGACCGGAGUGGACGCAUCACUGGUGUUCGGGUUGUCAUGCCAAUGGCACUGCCCGGUAGCUAAAUGCGGAAGAGAUAAGUGCUGAAAGCAUCUAAGCACGAAACUUGCCCCGAGAUGAGUUCU
rnacentral:rRNA from 1 species